rnacentral:misc_RNA from 1 species
AAGUCGUAACAAGGUUUCCGUAGGUGAACCUGCGGAAGGAUCAUUAGAUUGAAUUAUCAUUGUUGCUCGAGUUCUUGUUUAGAUCUUUUACAAUAAUGUGUAUCUUUAUUGAAGAUGUGCGCUUAAUUGCGCUGCUUCUUUAGAGUGUCGCAGUGAAAGUAGUCUUGCUUGAAUCUCAGUCAACGCUACACACAUUGGAGUUUUUUUACUUUAAUUUAAUUCUUUCUGCUUUGAAUCGAAAGGUUCAAGGCAAAAAACAAACACAAACAAUUUUAUUUUAUUAUAAUUUUUUAAACUAAACCAAAAUUCCUAACGGAAAUUUUAAAAUAAUUUAAAACUUUCAACAACGGAUCUCUUGGUUCUC